rnacentral:rRNA from 1 species
GACGAACGCUGGCGGCGUGCUUAACACAUGCAAGUCGAACGGAAAGGCCCUGCUUUUGUGGGGUGCUCGUUUGGCGAACGGGUGAGUAACACGUGAGUAACCUGCCCUUGACUUUGGGAUAACUUCAGGAAACUGGGGCUAAUACCGGAUAGGAGCUCCUGCUGCAUGGUGGGGGUUGGAAAGUUUCGGCGGUUGGGGAUGGACUCGCGGCUUAUCAGCUUGUUGGUGGGGUAGUGACUUACCAAGGCUUUGACGGGUAGCCGGCCUGAGAGGGUGACCGGCCACAUUGGGACUGAGAUACGGCCCAGACGCCUACGGGAGGCAGCAGGGGGGAAUAUUGCACAAUGGGCGGAAGCCUGAUGCAGCAACGCCGCGUGCGGGAUGACGGCCUUCGGGUUGUAAACCGCUUUCGCCUGUGACGAAGCGUGAGUGACGGUAAUGGGUAAAGAAGCACCGGCUAACUACGUG